rnacentral:rRNA from 1 species
CGUGAGGGAUGAAGGCCCUCGGGUCGUAAACCUCUGUCGGGAGGGAAGAAUUGGCUUCGGGCGAAUAGGCCGGGGCCGUGACGGUACCUCCAAAGGAAGCGCCGGCUAACUCCGUGCCAGCAGCCGCGGUAAUACGGAGGGCGCAAGCGUUAUUCGGAAUCACUGGGCGUAAAGCGCGUGUAGGCGGCCUGUUAAGUCAGUUGUUAAAUCCCUCGGCUCAACCGAGGAUCAGCAAUUGAUACUGAUAGGCUAGAGUGCAGGAGAGAGAAGUGGAAUUAUCGGAGUAGCGGUAAAAUGCGUAGAUCUCGAUAGGAACACCGAUGGCGAAGGCAGCUUCUUGGCCUGUGUCUGACGCUAAGACGCGAAAGCGUGGGGAGCAAACAGGAUUAGAUACCCCAGUAGUCCAAGCC